CAAACGGUCCUUUUCAGGACCACCGAAAAU
rfam:Aedes albopictus isolate Foshan contig213289, whole genome shotgun sequence.